UGUGGUUUAUGCUUCGUUUUGUCUCUGUGUUGAAGAUUGGCAUCUAACGGCGUUGUUUGGUGUCACAAUUUGAGGGUCGGCUGAAUUCAGCUUUCGUAUAUCUGUCUGGUGCUCAUUGUUGCCACGUGCUCUGCCACACAAAGGGGGUUAAUUGAGUAGUUAUAUCUUCUGGGGAAGCACUCUUACGGGAGGCAGCGCGGCUCGCCCUGCAUUUUAAGGUUCUGCUGAGAUCUGUCACAUUUCAGGUUGUCAGCGUUUAUCAGCCUUGCGGAUCUAUGGAACAACAACCAAGAAAAAGAGGUCGGCCAAGGCUCCUUGUCACCGCUGAUGUGGUGGAGCGGCGAAAGAAUUCCAAGCGGUUGCAAAAUGCCAAGCGUGCUUACAAGCGGGGAGAGGAGCUAUCGGAAGGGGGAUGUUCCGCCCACUCUCCAAACAUCGCUGGAUCUCCUACUGGUGGCCAAUCCAGUUCAGAUGCCUGUCCAGCGUUAGAUGAUGCUCGUCCGGCGGGCAAUACAAAUGUUGAGGAAACCA